CUACUGUACACAGUACAAGGACCAUUGGCAGAGUUGGGUUUGCAGCUACAAGCAUCUGAUUCUGGUGAAACUGGGGAAAAGAAUGAAGAUUACUAUAGUGAUUUUUUGCUUGGUGGGGGCGGUUUAUGCCAACCCAAUUCUGUACAAAGUUAUUUUGGAGCAGAGUGAACUGGAAUCAUCAAAC